rnacentral:rRNA from 1 species
UGCGUAGGCGGGAUAUUAAGUCAGUGGUGAAAGCCCCGAGCUCAACUUGGGAACUGCCAUUGAAACUGAUAUUCUUGAAUAUAGUUGAGGUAGGCGGAGUACAACAUGUAGCGGUGAAAUGCAUAGAUAUGUUGUAGAACACCAAUUGCGAAGGCAGCUUACUAGACUAUUAUUGACGCUGAGGCACGAAAGCGUGGGGAGCGAACAGGAUUAGAUACCCUGGCAGUCC